rnacentral:rRNA from 1 species
AUACGGAGGGUGCAAGCGUUAUUCGGAAUCACUGGGCGUAAAGGGCGCGCAGGCGGUUUGGUAAGUCAGAUGUGAAAGCCCACGGCUCAACCGUGGAAGUGCAUUUGAAACUGUCAGACUUGAGUACUAGAGGGGAAAGUGGAAUUCCCGGUGUAGAGGUGAAAUUUGUAGAUAUCGGGAGGAAUACCGGUGGCGAAGGCGACUUUCUGGCUAGAUACUGACGCUGAGGCGCGAAAGCGUGGGGAGCAAACAGGAUUAGAUACCCUAGUAGUCC